UGCUGGCUUCGGCAGUACUGCACUAAAAUUGGGACCCUACAGAAAAGAUGAGCAUGGCCCUUGCACAAGAAUGCCACACAGACUCGUGAAGCGUUCAGUAUUUUG
ensembl:snRNA U6 U6 spliceosomal RNA